GGGUGAGUAACGCGUAGGUAACCUGCCUUGUAGCGGGGGAUAACUAUUGGAAACGAUAGCUAAUACCGCAUAACAAUGGAUGACACAUGUCAUUUAUUUGAAAGGGGCAAUUGCUCCACUACAAGAUGGACCUGCGUUGUAUUAGCUAGUAGGUGAGGUAACGGCUCACCUAGGCGACGAUACAUAGCCGACCUGAGAGGGUGAUCGGCCACACUGGGACUGAGACACGGCCCAGACUCCUACGGGAGGCAGCAGUAGGGAAUCUUCGGCAAUGGGGGCAACCCUGACCGAGCAACGCCGCGUGAGUGAAGAAGGUUUUCGGAUCGUAAAGCUCUGUUGUAAGUCAAGAACGAGUGUGAGAGUGGAAAGUUCACACUGUGACGGUAGCUUACCAGAAAGGGACGGCUAACUACGUGCCAGCAGCCGCGGUAAUACGUAGGUCCCGAGCGUUGUCCGGAUUUAUUGGGCGUAAAGCGAGCGCAGGCGGUUUGAUAAGUCUGAAGUUAAAGGCUGUGGCUCAACCAUAGUUCGCUUUGGAAACUGUCAAACUUGAGUGCAGAAGGGGAGAGUGGAAUUCCAUGUGUAGCGGUGAAAUGCGUAGAUAUAUGGAGGAACACCGGUGGCGAAAGCGGCUCUCUGGUCUGUAACUGACGCUGAGGCUCGAAAGCGUGGGGAGCGAACAGGAUUAGAUACCCUGGUAGUCCACGCCGUAAACGAUGAGUGCUAGGUGUUGGAUCCUUUCCGGGAUUCAGUGCCGCAGCUAACGCAUUAAGCACUCCGCCUGGGGAGUACGACCGCAAGGUUGAAACUCAAAGGAAUUGACGGGGGCCCGCACAAGCGGUGGAGCAUGUGGUUUAAUUCGAAGCAACGCGAAGAACCUUACCAGGUCUUGACAUCCCGAUGCUAUUUCUAGAGAUAGAAAGUUACUUCGGUACAUCGGUGACAGGUGGUGCAUGGUUGUCGUCAGCUCGUGUCGUGAGAUGUUGGGUUAAGUCCCGCAACGAGCGCAACCCCUAUUGUUAGUUGCCAUCAUUCAGUUGGGCACUCUAGCGAGACUGCCGGUAAUAAACCGGAGGAAGGUGGGGAUGACGUCAAAUCAUCAUGCCCCUUAUGACCUGGGCUACACACGUGCUACAAUGGUUGGUACAACGAGUUGCGAGUCGGUGACGGCAAGCUAAUCUCUUAAAGCCAAUCUCAGUUCGGAUUGUAGGCUGCAACUCGCCUACAUGAAGUCGGAAUCGCUAGUAAUCGCGGAUCAGCACGCCGCGGUGAAUACGUUCCCGGGCCUUGUACACACCGCCCGUCACACCACGAGAGUUUGUAACACCCGAAGUCGGUGAGGUAACCUUUUGGAGCCAGCCGCCUAAGGUGGGAUAGAUGAUUGGGGUGAAGUCGUAAC
rnacentral:rRNA from 1 species